UACGAAGGGGGCUAGCGUUGUUCGGAAUCACUGGGCGUAAAGGGCGCGUAGGCGGCUUGAUAAGUCGGGGGUGAAAGCCUGUGGCUCAACCACAGAAUUGCCUUCGAUACUGUCUGGCCUGAGACCGGAAGAGGUAAGUGGAACUGCGAGUGUAGAGGUGAAAUUCGUAGAUAUUCGCAAGAACACCAGUGGCGAAGGCGGCUUACUGGUCCGGAUCUGACGCUGAGGCGCGAAAGCGUGGGGAGCAACAGGG
rnacentral:rRNA from 1 species